CACUCCUGCGGGAGGCAGCAGUGGGGAAUAUUGGACAAUGGGCGCAAGCCUGAUCCAGCCAUGCCGCGUGAGUGAUGAAGGCCCUAGGGUUGUAAAGCUCUUUCACCGGUGAAGAUAAUGACGGUAACCGGAGAAGAAGCCCCGGCUAACUUCGUGCCAGCAGCCGCGGUAAUACGAAGGGGGCUAGCGUUGUUCGGAUUUACUGGGCGUAAAGCGCACGUAGGCGGACUAUUAAGUCAGGGGUGAAAUCCCGGGGCUCAACCCCGGAACUGCCUUUGAUACUGGUAGUCUUGAGUUCGAGAGAGGGGAGUGGAAUUCCGAGUGUAGAGGUGAAAUUCGUAGAUAUUCGGAGGAACACCAGUGGCGAAGGCGGCUCACUGGCUCGAUACUGACGCUGAGGUGCGAAAGCGUGGGGAGCAAACAGGAUUAGAUACCCCGGUAGUCCCAUG
rnacentral:rRNA from 1 species